rnacentral:rRNA from 1 species
CCUACGGGCGGCAGCAGUGGGGAAUAUUGGACAAUGGGGGCAACCCUGAUCCAGCUAUGCCGCGUGUGUGAAGAAGGCCCUCGGGUUGUAAAGCACUUUCAGUGAGGAAGAACGCCUGGUGGUUAAUACCCAUCAGGAAAGACAUCACUCACAGAAGAAGCACCGGCUAACUCCGUGCCAGCAGCCGCGGUAAUACGGAGGGUGCGAGCGUUAAUCGGAAUUACUGGGCGUAAAGCGCGCGUAGGUGGCUUGAUAAGCCGGUUGUGAAAGCCCCGGGCUCAACCUGGGAACGGCAUCCGGAACUGUCAAGCUAGAGUGCAGGAGAGGAAGGUAGAAUUCCCGGUGUAGCGGUGAAAUGCGUAGAGAUCGGGAGGAAUACCAGUGGCGAAGGCGGCCUUCUGGACUGACACUGACACUGAGGUGCGAAAGCGUGGGUAGCAAACAGGAUUAGAUACCCCGGUAGUC